rnacentral:rRNA from 1 species
CGCGGCCUAUCAGCUUGUUGGUGAGGUAACGGCUCACCAAGGCAUCGACGGGUAGCUGGUCUGAGAGGAUGAUCAGCCACACUGGGACUGAGACACGGCCCAGACUCCUACGGGAGGCAGCAGUGGGGAAUCUUGCACAAUGGGCGAAAGCCUGAUGCAGCAACGCCGCGUGCGGGAAGAAGGCCCUAGGGUUGUAAACCGCUUUCAGCAGGGAAGAAGAUGACGGUACCUGUAGAAGAAGGUGCGGCCAACUACGUGCCAGCAGCCGCGGUGACACGUAGGCACCAAGCGUUGUCCGGAUUUAUUGGGCGUAAAGAGCUCGUAGGCGGUUCGGUAAGUCGGGUGUGAAAACUCUGGGCUCAACCCAGAGCCGCCACCCGAUACUGCUGUGACUUGAGUUCGGUAGGGGAGCGGGGAAUUCCUGGUGUAGCGGUGAAAUGCGCAGAUAUCAGGAGGAACACCGAUGGCGAAGGCAGGUCUCUGGGCAUUAACUGACGCUGAGGAGCGAAAGCAUGGGGAGCGAACAGGAUUAGAUACCCUGGUAGUCCAUGCCGUAAACGUUGGGCACUAGGUGUGGGGGACAUUCCACGUUUUCCGCGCCGUAGCUAACGCAUUAAGUGCCCCGCCUGGGGAGUACGG